AGUGAACGCUGGCGGUAGGCCUAACACAUGCAAGUCGAACGGCAGCACAGUAAGAGCUUGCUCUUACGGGUGGCGAGUGGCGGACGGGUGAGGAAUACAUCGGAAUCUACUUUUUCGUGGGGGAUAACGUAGGGAAACUUACGCUAAUACCGCAUACGACCUACGGGUGAAAGCAGGGGAUCUUCGGACCUUGCGCGAUUGAAUGAGCCGAUGUCGGAUUAGCUAGUUGGCGGGGUAAAGGCCCACAAAGGCGACGAUCCGUAGCCGGUCUGAGAGGAUGAUCAGCCACACUGGAACUGAGACACGGUCCAGACUCCUACGGGAGGCAGCAGUGGGGAAUAUUGGACAAUGGGCGCAAGCCUGAUCCAGCCAUACCGCGUGGGUGAAGAAGGCCUUCGGGUUGUAAAGCCCUUUUGUUGGGAAAGAAAAGCAGCAGGUUAAUACCCCGCUGUUCUGACGGUACCCAAAGAAUAAGCACCGGCUAACUUCGUG
rnacentral:rRNA from 1 species